rnacentral:rRNA from 1 species
GUGGGGAAUCUUGCGCAAUGGGCGAAAGCCUGACGCAGCCAUGCCGCGUGAAUGAUGAAGGUCUUAGGAUUGUAAAAUUCUUUCACCGGGGACGAUAAUGACGGUACCCGGAGAAGAAGCCCCGGCUAACUUCGUGCCAGCAGCCGCGGUAAUACGAAGGGGGCUAGCGUUGCUCGGAAUCACUGGGCGUAAAGGGCGCGUAGGCGGACAGCUUAGUCAGAGGUGAAAGCCCAGGGCUCAACCUUGGAAUUGCCUUUGAUACUGGCUGUCUUGAGUUUGGGAGAGGUGAGUGGAACUCCGAGUGUAGAGGUGAAAUUCGUAGAUAUUCGGAAGAACACCAGUGGCGAAGGCGACUCACUGGCCCAAUACUGACGCUGAGGCGCGAAAGCGUGGGGAGCAAACAGGAUUAGAUACCCUGGUAGUCC